rnacentral:misc_RNA from 1 species
UACAGCUCAGCUCUUCACAACUUAUGGCUUCUGUGAUAUCGCAUAAUAAUACUGGAUUGUUGUAUGUUUUUUAAAGGAGGAGGAGGUUCUCUAGGAGGAGGUGGUGGACCUCUUGCACCUGGACCUUGACCCUGUCCAGGAGCUCGUCUAUUUCCAGGGGGUUGUUGGCCUUGCCCUUGAUUUUGGCCCUGACCAGGAGCUUCGGCAUCAGGGUUCGGUGACAUCGUAGUUGGAUCAUAGUCAAACAAAGCGACAAACCAUCUUGUUCGCUUAUUAAUCUGUUGCGCCCCACCAGGAGCAUGAUGGGGCCCACCAGCACCUCCACUUUGGGCUUGACGUGCUCCGCGGCUACCCGGAUACAUUGGACCUCUUCCUCUUUGGUUCCCCACUGCAUAUGGAAAUACGACCUGCGGUGGAUCUACUGCCUCUGUGAGAGGGUCCCGAAGGCAUUCCAGCAGUAUUAUACCGAUGAUGACCGUGAUGAGGACCCAUAUUCCUAUCUCUUCUGGAUGGAUCUUCCUCCUCACUGUAGUUUGCCUCACUAGCUGAGUCUUUCGUGAUUUCUGGUACACCUGAGAAUUAAUAAGCAUUGAAAACGCAUGUUAAUCACUGUAGCUCUCCAAAGAUGUAUGAUUUGCUCAAG